rnacentral:rRNA from 1 species
GACGAACGCUGGCGGCGUGCCUAAUACAUGCAAGUCGAACGCAUCCCGUUAAAUGAAGUGCUUGCACGGAUUUUAACAUUGGAUGAGUGGCGAACUGGUGAGUAACACGUGGGUAACCUGCCCAGAAGCAGGGGAUAACACUUGGAAACAGGUGCUAAUACCGUAUAACAACAAAAACCGCAUGGUUUUUGUUUGAAAGGUGGUUUCGGCUAUCACUUCUGGAUGGACCCGCGGCGUAUUAG